CCAAGAGGGUCCAAGAGGGUGACAAUGGGCUGAAUGACCAAGCAGUUGUACUGCAUGCUCUGGCUGCUGGUAGAUCAAGUUUGGUCUGCAGAGAUGAGGUUGGAACAGAGAUCAUAGGGAUAUGGUUGCCGUUGAAAGCUAAGAGUACCUGGGUAAGGAUGCAGAGGUAUAACUAAAACAUGGAUGUUAUGUAUAAAACAAAUAUAAGAAGACUCUGUAGAGACAAGAGGCAGGGACUAGGACCUGAGGAAUGACAUGAUGGUGGGGCAAGGGACAAGAGGAGGGAAAGAAGGGAAAUAGAAGAGCAUGAAGGUGUGACAGAGAAAGACCGCUAAAAAAGAGCAAGAGCCACCAAAAAAAUAAUG